rnacentral:rRNA from 1 species
CCUACGGGGGGCAGCAGUGGGGAAUAUUGGACAAUGGGCGAAAGCCUGAUCCAGCCAUGCCGCGUGUGUGAAGAAGGCCUUUUGGUUGUAAAGCACUUUAAGCGAGGAGGAGGCUACCUAGAUUAAUACUCUAGGAUAGUGGACGUUACUCGCAGAAUAAGCACCGGCUAACUCUGUGCCAGCAGCCGCGGUAAUACAGAGGGUGCGAGCGUUAAUCGGAUUUACUGGGCGUAAAGCGUGCGUAGGCGGCUUUUUAAGUCGGAUGUGAAAUCCCUGAGCUUAACUUAGGAAUUGCAUUCGAUACUGGGAAGCUAGAGUAUGGGAGAGGAUGGUAGAAUUCCAGGUGUAGCGGUGAAAUGCGUAGAGAUCUGGAGGAAUACCGAUGGCGAAGGCAGCCUUCUGGCCUAAUACUGACGCUGAGGUACGAAAGCAUGGGGAGC